ACCAAACAAAACCCAAAUGCAAAAACCAAAUCUUUUUACCAAUAGAGAAUUAGAGGUCACGUAUAAGAUCUAAAUCCACAUGAACAACCCAUGGAUCACAUAUGCAUGUCACCACAUGAUGAAUAACAAAUACACAAGACAAGAGGAAUAAAAAAAGAAAAAAUGAAAAGGAAGUCAAGAAACCGUGAAGAAAAACUGUAGUAUCAUUUACCAGAAGAAAACGCUCUGUGAAAA
rnacentral:misc_RNA from 1 species